GUGCAGCUGUCUCUUGUGCUUGAUCUAACCAUGUGCUGCCGCCUGCUCUCGCUCCACAUGGUUCCGUCAAGCACCAGGGACCGCUGGGC
ensembl:miRNA mir218a-1 microRNA 218a-1